rnacentral:snRNA from 1 species
AUGCUCACCUCGGCAGCACAUAUCCUAAAAUUGGAAAAAUACAGAGAAGAUUAGCAUGGCCCCUGAGCAAGGAUAACACGCAAGUUCGUGAAGUGUUCCGUAUUUUU